rnacentral:tRNA from 4 species
GGGCCUAUAGCUCAGUUGGUUAGAGCGCACGCCUGAUAAGCGUGAGGUCAGUGGUUCAACUCCACUUAGGCCCACCA